UUACAAUUUGAGAUGACAUAUGAAGCUCAGCGCAAAUUCUUUUAGGAAGACUUUUAAAUAACUUCAAUCACCAAUAUCUCUUCCUAAAACU